GAUGAACGCUGGCGGCGUGCUUAACACAUGCAAGUCGAACGGAAAGGCCCAAGCUUGCUUGGGUACUCGAGUGGCGAACGGGUGAGUAACACGUGGGUGAUCUGCCCUGCACUUCGGGAUAAGCCUGGGAAACUGGGUCUAAUACCGGAUAGGACCACUUCUUGGAUGUUGUGGUGGAAAGUUUUCUCGGUGUGGGAUGAGCUCGCGGCCUGUCAGCUUGUUGGUGGGGUAAUGGCCUACCAAGGCGUCGACGGGUAGCCGGCCUGAGAGGGUGUACGGCCACAUUGGGACUGUGAUACGGGCCAGACUCCUACGGGAGGCAGCAAUGGGGAAUAUUGCACAAUGGGCGCAAGCCUGAUGCAGCGACGCCGCGUGGGGGAUGACGGCCUUCGGGUUGUAAACUCCUUUCGCUAGGGACGAAGCGUUUUUGUGACGGUACCUGGAGAAGAAGCACCGGCUAACUACGUG
rnacentral:rRNA from 1 species